rnacentral:rRNA from 1 species
GUGGGGAAUAUUGGACAAUGGGCGAAAGCCUGAUCCAGCCAUGCCGCGUGUGUGAAGAAGGUCUUCGGAUUGUAAAGCACUUUAAGUUGGGAGGAAGGGCAGUAAGUUAAUACCUUGCUGUUUUGACGUUACCGACAGAAUAAGCACCGGCUAACUUCGUGCCAGCAGCCGCGGUAAUACGAAGGGUGCAAGCGUUAAUCGGAAUUACUGGGCGUAAAGCGCGCGUAGGUGGUUUUGUAAGUUGGAGGUGAAAUCCCCGGGCUCAACCUGGGAACUGCCUCCAAAACUGCAUGACUAGAGUACGGUAGAGGGUAGUGCAAUUUCCUGUGUAGCGGUGAAAUGCGUAGAUAUAGGAAGGAACACCAGUGGCGAAGGCGACUACCUGGACUGAUACUGACACUGAGGUGCGAAAGCGUGGGGAGCAAACAAGAUUAGAAACCCCGGUAGUCC